AGCAAAGGAACUUUCGCUAAUUACGCAUACGUCCUGCAAGCAACGCGAAAGCCACCACAUCCUGUGGA
rnacentral:sRNA from 1 species